rnacentral:lncRNA from 1 species
GUUACCUCCUAAAGAUUCCCACUUUAUUGGGGCUUCAUGAACUUGGUAGGUUCACAUGAGCCUCCUAACAGGUGUCCCUGCCACUCACUUCCUAGAUCCUGCUGUUAUCCUCCAACUCACUUUCUGACACCUCAUGUGCCCCUGACCUUUCCAAGGAUGAAGGUUUAGAUUCUUUCCUGUGGCACAGCAAGCUCAACGGGAAAAUUUUGGUCCUGAAGCAGAAGUAACUGUGUUCCCAUGAGAUGAGACACUGCUGAAAGAGUCAAGGGGAGACCCAUACCCAGCUGGAAGGACCCUGAGCCUCAAAUAUCAAGUGUCUAGCUUUCAGUUUAAUACAAGCAGAUUAGGCUGGUACCUUUGUGCUGCUGGACAUUCUCCACUGUGGCUGAUCAGCCUUGAUAGCACAUUUUCAGAAGCCAGAGAAGGCCACAUCACCUCUAGCAGGAUCUUGUGUCCAUUGGUCCACCCAGUGUGUUCCUGAUGAGGAAUCAGGAUGCUGUGGCCUGCCUGUCAGUGAUUGCUACCCCAAGCCAUUCAAUGUGUUCCUGGCCUCCCUUGGAGCCUGAGCCUCAACCCAGGCCUUCACUGUAGCUCCCACAGUCCAUGGCACCUACAGUGCCAUCCAGAUUGGCAGGGUUGGUGAGAAUGACAUGGUAGCCUGCUCAGUGCAGGACCUUAGGAAAGAGAUCUUUAUGUCCUACCAGCCAGACACUGGGAUCACCCCUCAGCUGGAACCAUUCUGCCAUGACCAGGAACUCAGAGGAGAACCAGGACCUGAGCAAGGGAACCAGGUGCUCCUUGAACUGCUGGGCUGGAGAAUGUUAUUGAUGAAGACUGUGGCUCUCAACAUCCUAUUCACCACCAAGACCUUGAUCUUUCGAUCUUUUUCCCAUCCCAUUAAUCCUUGUCUGUUAUCUGCUCCCUCAUAUUUCCAUCCAGCUGCCCUCCCCAACCCCCAUCCAUACUCAGCCUCUUUUUUCUCAGUCUUGUCUCUGUCCCUUCAUCUCUCCCACCCUAACCUCACAAUCUCAUGCCUAUUGCCCUAGGCAUUUCAUAGUCUUCCCUCUGCCUUCAUCUCCUCUGUUCCCUUAGAUUUUUCUUAAUUUUCCAAGUCUCCUUUCUUGCCUAUUAUUCUUUCUGUCCCUAUGAUGUCCUUCCUGUGGGUGGAAGACAAUAAACUGCGUAUAGAUUAGUUUGACUUCUGACUC